GCCCCGGACGUGCGGCGGCACCGGGAGGCCGGGCCGAGCGGUUCAGUUUCAACUUUGAAUCUCCUGUAGGACUGACUGUAAACUAAUUUCCCAAGAUUUUUGUAUAAGAGAUAGAUGAAAAGGACUGUACUUUCAGGUUUUGCGAGAAUACCUCAAGUUGGACUCGGAAGUAAGAUUUACCACCAACUUUGAA